GAUGAACGCUGGCGGCGUGCCUAAUACAUGCAAGUCGAGCGAACGGACGAGAAGCUUGCUUCUCUGAUGUUAGCGGCGGACGGGUGAGUAACACGUGGAUAACCUACCUAUAAGACUGGGAUAACUUCGGGAAACCGGAGCUAAUACCGGAUAAUAUUUUGAACCGCAUGGUUCAAAAGUGAAAGACGGUCUUGCUGUCACUUAUAGAUGGAUCCGCGCUGCAUUAGCUAGUUGGUAAGGUAACGGCUUACCAAGGCAACGAUGCAUAGCCGACCUGAGAGGGUGAUCGGCCACACUGGAACUGAGACACGGUCCAGAAUACUACGGGAGGCAGCAGUAGGGAAUCUUCCGCAAUGGGCGAAAGCCUGACGGAGCAACGCCGCGUGAGUGAUGAAGGUCUUCGGAUCGUAAAACUCUGUUAUUAGGGAAGAACAUAUGUGUAAGUAACUGUGCACAUCUUAACGGUACCUAAUCAGAAAGCCACGGCUAACUACGUG
rnacentral:rRNA from 1 species